AUUGAACGCUGGCGGCAGGCCUAACACAUGCAAGUCGCGCGAGCGGCGGAGGGGUGUGUUAUGUAGGGGGAUCUGCCUGUUGGAGGGGGAUAAAUAAUGGAAAGGGUAGCUAACACCGUAUACCCUCAGGUGACCCCAUAUGGGAUUAGCUUGUAGGUGAGGGAACGGCUCACCUAGGCGACGACCCCUAGCUGGUCUGAGAGGAUGAUCAGCCACACUUGGACUGAGACACGGCCCAGACGCCUACGGGAGGCAGCAGUGGGGAAUAUUGCACAAUGGGCGCAAGCCUGAUGCAGCCAUGCCGCGUGUAUGAAGAAGGCCUUCGGGUUGUAAAGUACUUUCAGUCGGGAGGCGUUACCGACAGAAGAAGCACCGGCUAACUCCGUGCCAGCAGCCGCGGUAAUAC
rnacentral:rRNA from 1 species